UACGGAGGGGGCUAGCGUUGUUCGGAAUUACUGGGCGUAAAGCGCACGUAGGCGGCUUUGUAAGUUAGAGGUGAAAGCCCGGGAGCUCAACUCCGGAAUUGCCUUUAAGACUGCAUCGCUUGAAUCAUGGAGAGGUGAGUGGAAUUCCGAGUGUAGAGGUGAAAUUCGUAGAUAUUCGGAAGAACACCAGUGGCGAAGGCGGCUCACUGGUCCGGUACUGACGCUGAGGUGGCGAAAAGCGUGGGGGAG
rnacentral:rRNA from 1 species